rnacentral:misc_RNA from 1 species
CGACCCUCAAGCAUUGCUUGGUGUUGGGCCGGGUCCUUAGGGGGACCCACCCGUAACUUGUAGGCGGCCACCGGUGACGCCCUAAGCGUAGCAGGCUAACGCACUCGCUUGGAGGCGGCCCGCGUGGCCCCGCCCAAAAACUUAUCCAAAG